CGUACACUCCUACGGGAGGCAGCAGUGGGGAAUCUUGCGCAAUGGGCGAAAGCCUGACGCAGCCAUGCCGCGUGAAUGAUGAAGGUCUUAGGAUUGUAAAAUUCUUUCACCGGGGACGAUAAUGACGGUACCCGGAGAAGAAGCCCCGGCUAACUUCGUGCCAGCAGCCGCGGUAAUACGAAGGGGGCUAGCGUUGCUCGGAAUUACUGGGCGUAAAGGGAGCGUAGGCGGACAUUUAAGUCAGGGGUGAAAUCCCGGGGCUCAACCUCGGAAUUGCCUUUGAUACUGGGUGUCUUGAGUAUGAGAGAGGUGUGUGGAACUCCGAGUGUAGAGGUGAAAUUCGUAGAUAUUCGGAAGAACACCAGUGGCGAAGGCGACACACUGGCUCAUUACUGACGCUGAGGCUCGAAAGCGUGGGGAGCAAACAGGAUUAGAAACCCCUGUAGUCCCAUGA
rnacentral:rRNA from 1 species